CAACUAAUCCCUCUGUCCCAAAUUUCUUGUCUUAGAUUUAUCUAGAUACGGAUGUAUCUAGAUACAUCCGUAUCUAGACAAAUCUAAGACAAGAAUUUUGGGACGGAGGGAGUAAUUU
rnacentral:pre_miRNA from 1 species